UUUGACAUAUAUAAUGAGGCUGAAGUCAGCAGUUGAUAUUUUUUGGUCUAGUAUUUAAGUGUGAUCGUACUCUUUCUCUUUUCAUGUUGAAUUUGGCUUUUACUUUUAUGGUGUUUUCAUUUGUCUUUUAGGUUUGACGAUACUUCACCUUUCUCAUUCCUCAGACUCCAACCCACUUUGAUUCUGAAAGAUUUGACUGUUAUUUCCGGUCAGUCAGCUUGCCGAAGCAGUCAGAUUUCCGUCAUACUACUCUGAAUAAAAAUGGCAUCAGGAGAUGAGCUUCCAUCACAUCUCACUGUCGAUACCUCCAACGUUCAAAUUCUUAACUCUGAGACCUCAAAAAGAC